GACGAACGCUGGCGGCGUGCCUAAUACAUGCAAGUAGAACGCUGAAGGAGGAGCUUGCUUCUCUGGAUGAGUUGCGAACGGGUGAGUAACGCGUAGGUAACCUGCCUGGUAGCGGGGGAUAACUAUUGGAAACGAUAGCUAAUACCGCAUAACAGUAGAUAUCGCAUGAUAUCUACUUGAAAGGUGCAAUUGCAUCACUACCAGAUGGACCUGCGUUGUAUUAGCUAGUUGGUGAGGUAACGGCUCACCAAGGCGACGAUACAUAGCCGACCUGAGAGGGUGAUCGGCCACACUGGGACUGAGACACGGCCCAGACUCCUACGGGAGGCAGCAGUAGGGAAUCUUCGGCAAUGGACGGAAGUCUGACCGAGCAACGCCGCGUGAGUGAAGAAGGGUUUCGGAUCGUAAAGCUCUGUUGUAAGAGAAGAACGAGUGUGAGAGUGGAAAGUUCACACUGUGACGGUAUCUUACCAGAAAGAGACGGCUAACUACGUG
rnacentral:rRNA from 1 species